GAGGGAGGAGGCAAGCGUUAUCCGGAAUUAUUGGGCGUAAAGGGUACGUAGGCGGCUGGUCAAGUCUGGGGUCAAAGGCCACAGCUCAACUGUGGAAAGGCCCUGGAAACUGACCGGCUAGAAUGAGGUAGGGGUUGCGGGAAUUCCCGGUGUAGCGGUGAAAUGCGUAGAGAUCGGGGAGAACACCUGAGGGGGAAGCGCGCAACUGGGCCUCAACUGACGCUGAGGUACGAAAGCUAGGGGAGCGAAUGGG
rnacentral:rRNA from 1 species